AGUCUUCCUCUACCAGCCUUCAGAUGAAGCUGCAGAACUCAGCUCUGCCUAGAUGCUAGCAUGCUCCCACUUUGAUAAUGGACUGAACCCCCGAAUCUGCACAACAUGGUCAUCCCAUGGCCGUUUUUGGAGUAGAGAUAACCCUGGCCCGGUAACCAUGGCAAUAAAUUUCCAUCUUUGCUAGGCCUGCCUGCGUUACAGUCCUAUUUAGCCCAAGAGACAGUGUGAGCAACAUUUCUCCAUGGACAGUAGAGGCCCGGCCAGCUUUGAUCAUCAUAUGGGGACAGUGAUCAAGGAUUUGGAUCAUGAAGAGCACCUGGUACCCGGGAGAAUGACUAGAAACUAAGGCCACAAACGGGAAACAGUUGAGAAAGGGGUAAAAUGUAAGUUUAUUCAAUAAACUAUACAGGAUUGUGCU